CCAUGAUGAAAUCGCCAAAAAUAGCUGGAAUUACCGGCAGAUUGUAUGGUGGUGAGCCUAUGGUUUUCUGAAG